rnacentral:rRNA from 1 species
UACGUAGGUGGCAAGCGUUGUCCGGAUUUAUUGGGCGUAAAGCGAGCGCAGGCGGUUCCUUAAGUCUGAUGUGAAAGCCCCCGGCUCAACCGGGGAAGGUCAUUGGAAACUGGGGAACUUGAGUGCAGAAGAGGAGAGUGGAAUUCCAUGUGUAGCGGUGAAAUGCGCAGAUAUUAGGAGGAAUACCAGUGGCGAAGGCGACUUGCUGGAAUCUAACUGACGCUGAGGUACGAAAGCGUGGGGAGCAAACAGG